GACGAACGCUGGCGGCGUGCUUAACACAUGCAAGUCGAACGGAAAGGCCCUGCUUUUGUGGGGUGCUCGAGUGGCGAACGGGUGAGCAACACGUGAGUAACCUGCCCUUGACUUUGGGAUAACUUCAGGAAACUGGGGCUAAUACCGGAUAGGAGCUCCUGCUGCAUGGUGGGGGUUGGAAAGUUUCGGCGGUUGGGGAUGGACUCGCGGCUUAUCAGCUUGUUGGUGGGGUAGUGGCUUACCAAGGCUUUGACGGGUAGCCGGCCUGAGAGGGUGACCGGCCACAUUGGGACUGAGAUACGGCCCAGACUCCUACGGGAGGCAGCAGUGGGGAAUAUUGCACAAUGGGCGGAAGCCUGAUGCGGCAACGCCGCGUGCGGGAUGACGGCCUUCGGGUUGUAAACCGCUUUCGCCUGUGACGAAGCGUGAGUGACGGUAAUGGGUAAAGAAGCACCGGCUAACUACGUG
rnacentral:rRNA from 1 species